UUGAACUCUGUUUUUCUGUCUCUAAAGUCAGCUGAAAAUUGUUUUUCCCCACUCAUCAUGCCCCUUGCUAAUUUCCCUGCCUACCUCUGAGAUUAUUGGGAAGAUCAAAUUAGACUGGUGAAUGGGCUUUAGAAAAAUGUCCUAAAAGAUACAAAUGUGUAAUAGAUCAUGAAUUCUCAAUGAAACAGGAGCAUAAAUGGAAGCUCCAGAGAAACACUCACAAACAUCUGUCUGGUGCUUAUCUGUCUGUUUAAAUGAAGUGAAUAUCACAUGUUGCUUUUUCAGAUUCAAGCUCUG
rnacentral:lncRNA from 1 species